ACUACACAGCAAAACCACCAGUGUUGAUUUUACAGAGUUCGCUACUCUAGAGUGGUCAGGUGUUAGUUGUAGUGUUCGUUUAUAAUUUAUCAUCACUCACAGUGUCAGAAACUUCCACAAGGGGGUGUUGCUUUCCAGUGUUCCAAUAAUAACGUUUGCGGGGAGUUAAGAUUCACGCCACGCCCCUUCUUUCUGAAGCGGGAAAGUCAGUUACUCAGCAUCGACCGACCUGGACUCACGUUACUGAGGUUUGGAACAUGCUGCUGAAGUUGGUUAUCAGGGCUCCAGGAAAUGUAUCAAACUGCAGGAUUGAUUUAUUUUUGCUCAUUAGUGAAGGUGGUAAGCUAAACUGACUGUGGACUAAUGUAUGCAUUGUUGAUGACACUGAAAUCGAGGAAGACAUUCUACAAGAUGUGCUGCUUACAGUUAGAGGACAAAAUGAAGAUGCAACAAGCAGCUUCUGCCACUGUCAUUUACCAUCUGAACUUGACCAAAGUCGUUUCAAGAAAUCUAAGACAACAGAUGACUCCAUGACCGAGAUGGUCAUUUGUGCCAUUAAGCAGAAUAGUGGAAGUCCUAGUCAACAUUUUUGUUGCACAUAUUGACUCCUACAAGGAACCAGUGAGAGCAUAGACUGUGAUAGUGACAUGGCAACACUGCCUUUACUGCUCCAUCUCCUUCCACCAUCACCUCAACGGAAUCAGUGCAUCAGAUUUGCAGUGAGCAGGCUUGUGGUGUAUCAUAAGUCUUGUACCAGCCUUGAAGAACAUCUUCAGCAACGAGUAGGAUGACAACCGUACCUUACUGCGGUUAGCAGGAUCUGCGGCCAGAUUUGAGAACUUUGACGUGGCUUUUGAUAAGAAUCCAGUGUUUCCCACAGGAUUUUGAGAGACUGUGGUGGUGAUGACAUCACCCGCUAAUUAGCAUAUAUGUGACGUCAUCAUGUCAUGUUUGCGUUUGAUCUAGUGUUGGCACCUGAAAUAUGUUUCACUUCUACUGUUUGAUCUGUAUCUGUAUUUGAUCUGUAUUAUAUAUCAAAUUAUAUUUUAAGCCGAAUUAAGCUGUUUUAAAUAGUGAAAUAAAAAUGUAAAUGGGAAUCAUGAAAAUUCGAUUUGUGGGGGCCAGUGUUGAUUCUGUGGUGGGCCACCACAAAUAAAUCAAUGUAUGGGAAACACUGGAAUCUCACCCCAUCAGUCGGAAGGCUCCCUUUUAUUAGCAUUUGACUUUGUUUUUAAUGUAAUGUAUGAUGAUGGACUCCUUUACUUUAACUAAUUUAAUCAAACAACAGUUUACAUGUUGGGAAAACUAGAGAUUGAGAGCUGAGAGCAAACUUUUUUUAACUAGCUGUAACUAGUAUCUCAUUUACGGUUUCAGCAUGCAUUUUAUCCUUGCCCAAAUUUCUAAUUAAUAUGUGCUGAAGAAAAUUGUGAUUACUUUUGUGAUGUAUUGUUUUACAGAAUGUUUAGUGAAAGAUUUGCUGUGAUUUGCCCUAGAUGUGUGUCAGACAUGGAUUUUAAAACACUUUUCCAGUUUUGUUUAAACUCCUUGGCAAAAUUGAAAGGACUGUAUACAUAACCACUCUCUGAAAAUUUUGAAAAAGUUCACAAGUGAAACUUUUUUUUUUUUAUAAAUAUUUAAUAAUGUCAAAUAAAUGUGUUAAAUAAA